AAAGCAUACAAUGGCUGAAGUGGGAGGGGUCCAUGGUGGUGGACAUUCUUCAAUACUGUUCAUGUAAAAGUGGCAUAAAAACUAGCAGAAUGCGAUAUCUCAUCGUUUUCUGGCUUCUUGAAUGAAUAAGAGAAAAUGAGUCUGCGUGGGCUGAUCAACCUUGGGAACACGUGCUUCAUGAACUGCAUCGUGCAGGCCCUGACCCACACGCCACUUCUGCGGGACUUCUUCCUGUCUGACAGGCACCGCUGUGAGAUGCAGAGCCCCAGCUCCUGUCUGGUCUGUGAGAUGUCCUCACUGUUUCAGGAGUUUUACUCUGGACACCGGUCCCCUCACAUCCCGUAUAAGUUGCUGCACCUGGUGUGGACCCACGCGAGGCACCUGGCAGGCUACGAGCAGCAGGACGCCCACGAGUUCCUCAUCGCGGCCCUGGACGUGCUCCACCGACACUGCAAAGGUGAUGACAAUGGGAAGAAGGCCAACAACCCCAACCACUGCAACUGCAUCAUAGACCAGAUCUUCACAGGUGGAUUGCAGUCAGACGUCACCUGCCAAGUCUGCCA
rnacentral:sRNA from 1 species